rnacentral:tRNA from 1 species
GAAAUAUACAGAUAAGACUAAAGCUGCUAACUUUAAGUAAUAGCGGUUUAAUUCCGUUAAUAUUUCU